rnacentral:rRNA from 1 species
AUGAAUAAGGUUCUACCCGUCUAUCCCCCGUCCCAGCGUUCAUCGCCGGCACUGGUGGCUGCUUGGUACUUGUGGUGGCAGCGCUGCCAACACGCGAAGGGCGAAGCGAUCCAAACCGCGGACAGAGUUGCUACAUUGAUCAGUGUUUUAGCUGCAAAUUUCAUUAGAGCAUACACGAACAAGCAACCGGAUAGAAGCCAUGAUCACAUGUGGAAGCGUUCGCUCAGUGACGUGACUAAAAUAAAUGUCGACACGGCCUUCCAAGCUGAAACUUUGUCAGGAGCAACAGGUGCGAUCGCCCACGAUAGUCAAGGGAAGUUUAUCGCUGCAGCAACUUGGUACAUCCCUCAGGUUAGCAUUGUUGACUCAGCGGAGACAACGGCAAUCCGCAAUGGUCUAUACUUAGUGGGGAAGAUCGGAUGCAAUAAGGUCCUAAUUGAAUCAGACAACAACUUUGUGGUAGAAUCAUUACAAAAUCCGGAUGCUUAUGCUGGACUUGAUGCGGUUAUGGUGGCAUAA